UGGCUCUGGCAUCGAUGAAGAACGCAGCAAAAUGCGAAAAGUAAUGUGAAUUGCAGAAUUCAGUGAACCAUCGAAUCUUUGAACGCACAUUGCGCCUGCUAGCAUUCUAGUGGGCAUGCCUGUUCGAGCGUCUUUAAGACCACCAAAAGGCCCUGUUCUUGGCCUGGCUUUGGCUGCUAGCGAGCGAGCUUCCGGGCUCCCUGCUACGGCUCAAACUCAAGGGCAGAAACGGCGCAGCCUCGCACUAAAUAGCAAUCUAGUGUCCUGACCAGCGCCGGCCUUCUUGCCGUCUCGUAGACAGAAGCCCCCCCCCCCUUCUGUCUACCUCUCUUUUCCAUCAGUUGGACCUCGAAUCAGGUAGGAGUACCCGCUGA
rnacentral:misc_RNA from 1 species